GACGAACGCUGGCGGCGUGCCUAAUACAUGCAAGUUGAGCGCUGAAGGUUGGUACUUGUACCAACUGGAUGAGCAGCGAACCGGUGAGUAACGCGUGGGGAAUCUGCCUUUGAGCGGGGGACAACAUUUGGAAACGAAUGCUAAUACCGCAUAAAAACUUUAAACACAAGUUUUAAGUUUGAAAGAUGCAAUUGCAUCACUCAAAGAUGAUCCCGCGUUGUAUUAGCUAGUUGGUGAGGUAAAGGCUCACCAAGGCUAUGAUACAUAGCCGACCUGAGAGGGUGAUCGGCCACAUUGGGACUGAGACACGGCCCAAACUCCUACGGGAGGCAGCAGUAGGGAAUCUUCGGCAAUGGACGAAAGUCUGACCGAGCAACGCCGCGUGAGUGAAGAAGGUUUUCGGAUCGUAAAACUCUGUUGGUAGAGAAGAACGUUGGUGAGAGUGGAAAGCUCAUCAAGUGACGGUAACUACCCAGAAAGGGACGGCUAACUACGUG
rnacentral:rRNA from 1 species